rnacentral:rRNA from 1 species
ACGGGUGAGUAAUAUAUCGGAACGUACCUUUGAGUGGGGGAUAACUAGUCGAAAGAUUAGCUAAUACCGCAUACGAUCUACGGAUGAAAGUGGGGGCUCGCAAGACCUCAUGCUCAUAGAGCGGCCGAUAUCUGAUUAGCUAGUUGGUGAGGUAAAGGCUCACCAAGGCAUCGAUCAGUAGCUGGUCUGAGAGGACGACCAGCCACACUGGGACUGAGACACGGCCCAGACUCCUACGGGAGGCAGCAGUGGGGAAUUUUGGACAAUGGGGGCAACCCUGAUCCAGCAAUGCCGCGUGAGUGAAGAAGGCCUUCGGGUUGUAAAGCUCUUUUGUCAGGGAAGAAACGGGAUGUUCUAAUACAGCGUCCUAAUGACGGUACCUGAAGAAUAAGCACCGGCUAACUACGUGCCAGCAGCCGCGGUAAUACGUAGGGUGCAAGCGUUAAUCGGAAUUACUGGGCGUAAAGCGUGCGCAGGCGGUUGUGUAAGACAGGUGUGAAAUCCCCGGGCUUAACCUGGGAAUGGCAUUUGUGACUGCACGGCUAGAGUGUGUCAGAGGGGGGUAGAAUUCCACGUGUAGCAGUG